AGGGCUCCUGCACACUGCCUGCGUGGCGGGAGCUGUGGCGUGUCAGCUGUGUGGCGUUUUCUAUGUCUUUGCACACCAGAAACAUGUCUGAAGCUGCUGCUAGCCUUGUCUUUACACAUGCAUGUUUCCCAUUAAUAACAUUAAAUAUAUUCGAGCUGGUUACAG